ACCUGUGUUAUUCUGCCACCGCUACACCUGCACAAUUAUCUUUGCUCUCCGAGGUUAUAGCUAAAUAUUCCGCCCUAAGAGAAUGGGAAGCAGGGAAAGAAAGGCAGAAGGAAGAGAAAAGCGCUUCUUCUCCCGCUGCUGCGAUCUUCCUGUAACAGUAGACCAUCUCCACCACCAGCCAUAACUGCAGCCCGAUGAUUGACACAUACAUCAUGAUCUCAGAUAAGAUGGACGCCAUACCUCGUGUAGCUAGGGGUUUCAGCACUCAGAGUCAGUAUACAGACACAUCAGCAGUGACAUCAGUGCUGAUGUAGGCCUGACUCAGACUCUGACAGGAAGUAAAGACACGUCAGCAUAUGUGACAUGAGAUGUUCUCAGCAGAAGAGUCAAACCGAAAAUGUAGUCCCUCAGAAGUUGAUUUUGAGUGUGGCUUCCAACAAAAAUUACAAUUUGAUCAUUUGGCCAUUCAUUUUGCAUUGUAUUAAAGGGGAGAAGUGUUUGUCAAAAAUACUCUACACUUUCUUUUCCCUCAUAAACUAUAAAAGGAGAUUUUGCCUUGUGAUCACUGGCUGCCAAAAUGUUUAAUAUUGUACAUUAGUUUGGGAUUUUACCCUAUAGAAGCCUGUUUUUACCUCAGAGUCAAAAAUAUAACAGGUACUCGGGGGAUGAAGCUUACAGUAGGAAAUAAAGUCCUAAUUGUGAGAUAUAACAUUAUUACAAGAGAAAUCAAAGACACAACAACCGUUUUAUUUUUAUUUGUGGAAAUAGGCUUCCAUAGAUCCUGGUUUCCUUACACUACCAUUGUUAUUUUAGUAAUAUUUAUAUAUAGUUAUUUAUAUAUAUAUAUAUAUUUUUUUUUUUUUAAAUUAA